rnacentral:rRNA from 1 species
GGACAUUUGGCUAACGGGUGAGUAACACGUGAGUAACCUGCCCUUAACUCUGGGAUAAGCCUGGGAAACUGGGUCUAAUACCGGAUAUGACUCCUUGCCGCAUGGUGGGGGGUGGAAAGCUUUAUUGUGGUUUUGGAUGGACUCGCGGCCUAUCAGCUUGUUGGUGAGGUAAUGGCUCACCAAGGCGACGACGGGUAGCCGGCCUGAGAGGGUGACCGGCCACACUGGGACUGAGACACGGCCCAGACUCCUACGGGAGGCAGCAGUGGGGAAUAUUGCACAAUGGGCGCAAGCCUGAUGCAGCGACGCCGCGUGAGGGAUGACGGCCUUCGGGUUGUAAACCUCUUUCAGUAGGGAAGAAGCGAAAGUGACGGUACCUGCAGAAGAAGCGCCGGCUAACUACGUGCCAGCAGCCGCGGUAAUACGUAGGGCGCAAGCGUUAUCCGGAAUUAUUGGGCGUAAAGAGCUCGUAGGCGGUUUGUCGCGUCUGCCGUGAAAGUCCGGGGCUCAACUCCGGAUCUGCGGUGGGUACGGGCAGACUAGAGUGAUGUAGGGGAGACUGGAAUUCCUGGUGUAGCGGUGAAAUGCGCAGAUAUCAGGAGGAACACCGAUGGCGAAGGCAGGUCUCUGGGCAUUAACUGACGCUGAGGAGCGAAAGCAUGGGGAGCGAACAGGAUUAGAUACCCUGGUAGUCCAUGCCGUAAACGUUGGGCACUAGGUGUGGGGGGACAUUCCACGUUUUCCGCGCCGUAGCUAACGCAUUAAGUGCCCCGCCUGGGGGAGUACGGCCGCAAGGCUAAAACUCAAAGGAAUUGACGGGGGCCCGCACAAGCGGCGGAGCAUGCGGAUUAAUUCGAUGCAACGCGAAGAACCUUACCAAGGCUUGACAUGGACCGGAAAUGCCUGGAAACAGGUGCCCCGCUUGCGGUCGGUUCACAGGUGGUGCAUGGUUGUCGUCAGCUCGUGUCGUGAGAUGUUGGGUUAAGUCCCGCAACGAGCGCAACCCUCGUUCUAUGUUGCCAGCGCGUUACGGCGGGGACUCAUAGGAGACUGCCGGGGUCAACUCGGAGGAAGGUGGGGACGACGUCAAAUCAUCAUGCCCCUUAUGUCUUGGGCUUCACGCAUGCUACAAUGGCCGGUACAAAGGGUUGCGAUACUGUGAGGUGGAGCUAAUCCCAAAAAGCCGGUCUCAGUUCGGAUUGGGGUCUGCAACUCGACCCCAUGAAGUCGGAGUCGCUAGUAAUCGCAGAUCAGCAACGCUGCGGUGAAUACGUUCCCGGGCCUUGUACACACCGCCCGUCAAGUCACGAAAGUUGGUAACACCCGAAGCCGGUGGCCUAACCCUUAUAGUUUUUUG